UGGGGAAUUUUGGACAAUGGGCGAAAGCCUGAUCCAGCAAUGCCGCGUGUGUGAAGAAGGCCUUCGGGUUGUAAAGCACUUUUGUCCGGAAAGAAAUCCUUGGCUCUAAUACAGUCGGGGGAUGACGGUACCGGAAGAAUAAGCACCGGCUAACUACGUGCCAGCAGCCGCGGUAAUACGUAGGGUGCAAGCGUUAAUCGGAAUUACUGGGCGUAAAGCGUGCGCAGGCGGUUUGCUAAGACCGAUGUGAAAUCCCCGGGCUCAACCUGGGAACUGCAUUGGUGACUGGCAGGCUAGAGUAUGGCAGAGGGGGGUAGAAUUCCACGUGUAGCAGUGAAAUGCGUAGAGAUGUGGAGGAAUACCGAUGGCGAAGGCAGCCCCCUGGGCCAAUACUGACGCUCAUGCACGAAAGCGUGGGGAGCAAAACAGGAUUAGAUACCCUGGUAGUCCACGCCCUAAACGAUGUCAACUAGUUGUUGGGGAUUCAUUUCCUAGUAACGUAGCUAACGCGUGAAGUUGACCGCCUGGGGGGUACGGUCGAAGAUUAAAACUC
rnacentral:rRNA from 1 species